UGUUUCCAGAGGGGCCUUGCCAGAGCGUUACAAAUACAGAGGCAGAAACUAGCAACCAACAAUUGGUCUGGGCUUGGGGUCCUCAAUGGAGGCUCUGGAGUGUGGUCCGGAGGAGCUGAAGGGGUUUAUAGCCCCAUGGGAAGAACAAUGACUUCAGACACCCAGACACCCCAAGACUCCUAGGGACUGAACCAUCAACCGAGGGGUACACAUGGUUCCAGCCAAAAAUGUGGCAGAGGAAUGCCUUGUUGGACAUCAGUGGAAGGAGUGGUCUUUGGUCAGGAUCGUUCUCAGUUAGACUUAGCGAUGAAUUCUCAGUGAUGACUCAGUUCUAGAGACCAGAGCUCAAGCUGUGUGAACAUCGGAAUAUUCCAGGCUGCUGUAUUUCACCGUGGUCAGAGUGCUACGUUUCCUUCUGACAGGAAUUGAAUGAGAAUAGGCCCAUCCAUCUUGGACAUGCCAGAAACUUCGGAUGGAAUAAGCCAGCUCUGCAAUCUUGCACAGGAUAGCCAGCUACCCGGCGAUGCAGAGGAGAAUAGUAGCUGAAAACCAAUAUUGCAUCAAAUAGAAGCUUCCAGGGAGAGUACGUUGAGGAGGCCAGGAAGAAGAAUGAUAUGGAAAAGUCGAGGCGUAUUGUAAUAAAGUUCUGAGGCACCCUGCCCCAAUCAUUUUGAAGAUCUAAUGGAUGUGUUCCAGCAUUGUGAAAGUGUUAACACCCAAACAGAUGUAAAAAUGCCUCUCCACCUUGAGUUGUGAAUCCUUCCUAAGGAGGCUGAAGAAGGGAGGUGGCAGCCAGAGUGAUUGGCGAGACAUGCUGAUGCUGGGACAAGGGAUGAUGCUGACCAUGAUCUUGCCCUGACACUGGUGACAAGGAAGCUGUAUUGGACACAUGUUCCUGACCCACCUUUGCUACAUCCUUCUGUAAUGGCAAGAAUAUCAGCAGUCAUACUGGAAUUUCACAUGGAAAAGUGAAAUAUUAUCAACCCACUGUUGAUCAGAAAGUGUGACCAUGGCCCAUCAAGCUGGCCAAACAAGAUGUCAGAAGUCUACAACUGUGAGGAGCUGCAUCCCACCGACAGCCUGGGGAUGGUUGGAAGUGCUUGUUCCCCAAUGGAGCAUCCAAAUGAUGUCCCACAUUGUCACAAGGACCCUGCUGUCUACCAGAGACUUCCAGCACACCAUGAAAUAACACGUCGCACCGGGGAUGGCUGAGUGGCUUGCUCAGAGGUGGGAGUUGUGGUACAGCCGUGAUGGAUGUCAAGGGAGGAGCCCAGUGGGAACAUUAGCAGAAGCAGGCACUGGGUCUCUGGCACUGUAGCAGGCAGCCUGACGCUGCCCCUGUAACCACUCCUGUAGCCACUCUGGUGAUCAGCGACACAGGGGGCUGGCUUGUUUGCUUUUCUUUUAGAUGGAAAAUAUAGGACCUUAAAUAAGAAAAGGUGAGCAAAUACCCUUUGCUCCUACGUGACCGUUUCAUAUGCUCUGGAUAAUAGUUUCAGCAUC